AACGAACGCUGGCGGCGUGCCUAACACAUGCAAGUCGUACGUGAAAGUCUUCGGAUGAGUAAAGUGGCGCACGGGUGAGUAACACGUAGGUGACCUGCCUUUUAGAGGGGAAUAACCAGAAGAAAUUUUGGCUAAUGCCGCAUACGAAGUACAAAUCUAAGAGUAGUACUUGAAAGAAUGCCUCUGUAUAUGCAUUCACUAAAAGAUGGGCCUGCGGAACAUUAGCUAGUUGGUGGGGUAAAGGCCUACCAAGGCUACGAUGUUUAUCCGGUCUGAGAGGAUGAUCGGACACACUGGAACUGAGACACGGUCCAGACUCCUACGGGAGGCAGCAGUGGGGAAUAUUGCGCAAUGGGGGAAACCCUGACGCAGCAACGCCGCGUGAGUGAGGAAGGGCUUCGGUCUGUAAAGCUCUGUUAAUGUGGAAAAAUGGUAGUUGGUCUAAUAGGCCGAUUAUUUGAUGGUACACAUAGAGGAAGCACCGGCUAACUUCGUGCCAGCAGCCGCGGUAAUACGAAGGGUGCCAGCGUUGUUCGGAUUUAUUGGGCGUAAAGCGCGCGUAGGCGGACCUGCAAGUC
rnacentral:rRNA from 1 species